UACGGCCGCAAGGCUAAAACUCAAAGGAAUUGACGGGGGCCCGCACAAGCGGCGGAGCAUGCGGAUUAAUUCGAUGCAACGCGAAGAACCUUACCAAGGCUUGACAUGUUCUCGAUCGCCGUAGAGAUACGGUUUCCCCUUUGGGGCGGGUUCACAGGUGGUGCAUGGUUGUCGUCAGCUCGUGUCGUGAGAUGUUGGGUUAAGUCCCGCAACGAGCGCAACCCUCGUUCCAUGUUGCCAGCACGUCGUGGUGGGGACUCAUGGGAGACUGCCGGGGUCAACUCGGAGGAAGGUGAGGACGACGUCAAAUCAUCAUGCCCCUUAUGUCUUGGGCUUCACGCAUGCUACAAUGGCCGGUACAAUGGGUUGCGAUACUGUGAGGUGGAGCUAAUCCCAAAAAGCCGGUCUCAGUUCGGAUUGGGGUCUGCAACUCGACCCCAUGAAGUCGGAGUCGCUAGUAAUCGCAGAUC
rnacentral:rRNA from 1 species